CUGCAUGGCACCCUGAAAACCGGAUUCCUGCUCCAAUGAAGGAAGAGAGUCACACAACAGUUACCUGAAUUGUGCUAAGGUCACAUUCAGAGGCACUGGACUUCAACAUUACUUUCUUCGUGUGAGCACUUGAGUUCCAGGCCUCCUGAGUCACACAAUAAACACCAGCUCCCUCUGCUUGUUGGCCUCCUUUGGACCUGCCACCCAUCCAGGAGACUCCAGAUGAAACACUGCACUUCUUGCAACACCAUGUCCCACACAGGACCUGAGAACAGGAAGCACCAAGAGCCAAUGAAAUCAACUGCCUCUUGAAUGGAAAAUGGACAGCUCACUGCCUAGACAGAGGGAAGACCCACUCUGUCUGAACUUUGCGGACAGAGCAGCAGGUCCCAGAAGGAACUCAGAAGCAAGUCCUGCCAGUUCAAGCAGGGAGAACCAGAACCAAGAGAAGGAGCUGAGAACAGACUGAGUGGAUUAACACUGCCUCUUGCACUUUGCCUGGUGACAUCUGAAAAGCCAUGUACACACUGGUGCACCUGUA